rnacentral:rRNA from 1 species
AUUGAACGCUGGCGGCAGGCCUAACACAUGCAAGUCGAACGGUAACAGGAAGAAGCUUGCUUCUUUGCUGACGAGUGGCGGACGGGUGAGUAAUGUCUGGGAAACUGCCUGAUGGAGGGGGAUAACUACUGGAAACGGUAGCUAAUACCGCAUAACGUCGCAAGACCAAAGAGGGGGACCUUCGGGCCUCUAGCCAUCGGAUGUGCCCGGAUGGGAUUAGCUAGUAGGUGGGGUAACGGCUCACCUAGGCGACGAUCCCUAGCUGGUCUGAGAGGAUGACCAGCCACACUGGAACUGAGACACGGUCCAGACUCCUACGGGAGGCAGCAGUGGGGAAUAUUGCACAAUGGGCGCAAGCCUGAUGCAGCCAUGCCGCGUGUAUGAAGAAGGCCUUCGGGUUGUAAAGUACUUUCAGCGGGGAGGAAGGGAGUAAAGUUAAUACCUUUGCUCAUUGACGUUACCCGCAGAAGAAGCACCGGCUAACUCCGUG